GUGGGGAAUAUUGGGCAAUGGGCGCAAGCCUGACCCAGCAACGCCGCGUGAAGGAAGAAGGCUUUCGGGUUGUAAACUUCUUUUACCAGGGACGAAACAAAUGACGGUACCUGGUGAAUAAGCCACGGCUAACUACGUGCCAGCAGCCGCGGUAAUACGUAGGUGGCGAGAGUUAUCCGGAUUUAUUGGGUGUAAAGGUCGUGUAGGCGGGACAGCAAGUCAGAUGUGAAAACCAGAGGCUCAACCUCUGGCCUGCAUUUGAAACUGUUGUUCUUGAGUGUCGGAGAGGUAAUCGGAAUUCCGUGUGUAGCGGUGAAAUGCGUAGAUAUACGGAGGAACACCAGUGGCGAAGGCGGAUUACUGGACGAUAACUGACGCUGAGGCGCGAAAGCGUGGGGAGCAAACAGGAUUAGAUACCCGAGUAGUCC
rnacentral:rRNA from 1 species